AGUGAACGCUGGCGGUAGGCCUAACACAUGCAAGUCGAACGGCAGCACAGUAAGAGCUUGCUCUUACGGGUGGCGAGUGGCGGACGGGUGAGGAAUACAUCGGAAUCUACUUUUUCGUGGGGGAUAACGUAGGGAAACUUACGCUCAUACCGCAUACGACCUACGGGUGAAAGAAGGGGAUCUUCGGACCUUGCGCGAUUGAAUGAGCCGAUGUCGGAUUAGCUAGUUGGCGGGGUAAAGGCCCACCAAGGCGACGAUCCGUAGCUGGUCUGAGAGGAUGAUCAGCCACACUGGAACUGAGACACGGUCCAGACUCCUACGGGAGGCAGCAGUGGGGAAUAUUGGACAAUGGGCGCAAGCCUGAUCCAGCCAUACCGCGUGGGUGAAGAAGGCCUUCGGGUUGUAAAGCCCUUUUGUUGGGAAAGAAAAGCAGCAGGUUAAUACCCCGCUGUUCUGACGGUACCCAAAGAAUAAGCACCGGCUAACUUCGUG
rnacentral:rRNA from 1 species